ensembl:lncRNA
AUGUUUGUUUUAUUUUUCAAGUCCAGUACAAAGAUCCCUUGUCAAGGAAAGCUCUUUCGGGCCUCCCUCACCCCACGAACCCUCCCACCCAUCUCGCUCACUAUGGUGUGCGUUCCACACAGCACAGAUUGUGCACUCUUCAUCUUUGCGCCUCCGCCUUCCAACACAGUGCUCUUCAAACACCCGGCGCUCUACAUUUACCAAUUAGCCACAUUUACCGGCGCUGAGAAGUCCGCGCCGUUCAGGUGCACCUCCACCGGGGCCAGCCGAUUGCCCGCCGGAAGUGACGCACCCUCGGGGCCCACGUACUUCCUCUACAGGGUGCCGCCUUCGCUGCCGCCGCGGCAGGGGUACGGGUUUCUCUGGCCGGCCAACUCAGCUGCCCUGGAGGAUUCGUGCAUGCUGAUAACUAA